rnacentral:lncRNA from 1 species
CAUGACAGUAUUACUACAAAUGACGCAGGAGUACUAAAGCACACAAAUAGGUGAUAUCUAUUCCUUGGACUCAGAGUCUACUGAAUGCAAACAUAUUUUAAUACAGAAUUUUGACAAUAGAUUUAAUCUUUAAGUGUGUCAUCUUUGCCGGAAUUAUUGACUUGUCAUGGGUUAUUUACUUAUAUUCUGUAUAAAGGAAAAAUACACGCUUCGCCUUAUUGAAAAGAUCAUAUUAUAUAUUUUUAAGAUAUAUUUUAGUUAACAUAUAAAUACACAUGGACAAACUUUGAAAUCUAAAAAGAACAAUA